rnacentral:lncRNA from 1 species
AAAACUGGGGCUUAAAAAUGGUGUCAUGUGUCUAAGGUUACAUACCUUGGAACUGGUAAAGCCAAUAUUUAAACCUAAACUCUUUGACUCCAGAGCUGGUGUGAAGAACCAUACACUCACUCUAUAACCUCCACCCAGCACCUAGCAACUCCAGAAGUUUCACAUUAAAAGAUGAUCAAGCUGAAACUAAGAGACAUUAAAAUGAAGAAAUAAAUAACUUCCACGCUCCCAGACAAAAGCUGAAUGAAGACAAUUCUGUUCACUAGGGCUUCAAAGAAGACUGUGUGUGGAAGCCUUAGUGCAUUACAACUUAGCCUAGGAUGAGGGGAAGACGGGGUCCAGGGGAGAAGUGGAUGUCUGAUCUGCAUUUCCCAUUCAUCAGUAACUGCUCUUACUUGGAGAUUUUUGGCUUCUUGUGGAGAUACUUGUGGUUUUGGAGAAACUCAAGCCCAUUACUGCUCGCUGGAUGGGACAAAUGACCCAGAUAGAGCAGGCAGCAGGUCCCACGAGACUGGCAACAGUGAGUGGUUUAUAUUGCCUGAAUCCAGUGAAGUCGAUAAGUCCUAGGUCACUGUGGAAUUUUAAGAUGAAGUUAUACUACCUCUCUCUAUGAUGUGUCUCAUCAUGCUUGGGUCUGCAGCAACCUUUUUUUUGUAUUAUGAGGGAAGUUAUUCUU